UUGUCGAAUCCUGCAAAGCAGACGACCGCGAACUUGUGUAAUUGCCGGGCGUCGGGGAACGGGGGAGACUAAAGCCUCCCCUAACUCCCCGGCGCUCCCCGCGCACCGCGCGGACAACAACUCAACCCCGGCGCGGAAAGCGCCAAGGAAAACUCAAAAGGAUUGCCCGMCYCCCCGUGCGCGGGGUGUGUUGUGGCGUCUGUCGUAACCAAAACGACUCUCGGCAACGGAUAUCUCGGCUCUCGCAUCGAUGAAGAACGUAGCGAAAUGCGAUACUUGGUGUGAAUUGCAGAAUCCCGUGAACCAUCGAGUCUUUGAACGCAAGUUGCGCCCGAAGCCAUUAGGCCGAGGGCACGCCUGCCUGGGCGUCACGCAUCGCGUCGCCACCCCCCUUUUGCGGGGCGGCGGAUACUGGCCUCCCGUCCCAAGAAGGCGCGGCUGGCCUAAAUUCGAGUCCUCGACGGGGGACGUCACGACAAGUGGUGGUUGAAUGCCUCAACUCGAUUCCUGUCGUGUUCAUUGGCCUCGUCGUUUCUCGGGCUCCUUGACCCUUCUUGCUUGCAUCUCGAUGCGAGCCUCGACCGCGACCCCA
rnacentral:rRNA from 1 species